GCACAUGUGGUGUAGUGGUUUGAGUGUUGGACUAAGACUCUGAGACCAGGGUUUGAUUCCCAGCUUGGCA